rnacentral:rRNA from 1 species
GAUGAACGCUAGCGGGAGGCUUAACACAUGCAAGUCGCGGGGCAGCACGAGGUAGCAAUACUUUGGUGGCGACCGGCGCACGGGUGAGUAACGCGUAUGCAACCUGCCCAGUACAGGGGGAUAGCCCGCAGAAAUUCGGAUUAAUACCCCAUAAUGAUAAGAGAUGGCAUCAUUUUUUAUUAAAGUUACGGCGGUACUGGAUGGGCAUGCGUGACAUUAGCUAGUUGGUAGGGUAACGGCCUACCAAGGCAUCGAUGUCUAGGGGUCCUGAGAGGGUGAUCCCCCACACUGGUACUGAGACCCGGACCAGACUCCUACGGGAGGCAGCAGUAGGGAAUAUUGGGCAAUGGACGCAAGUCUGACCCAGCCAUGCCGCGUGCAGGAUGAAGGCCCUAUGGGUUGUAAACUGCUUUUUCUACGGGAAGAAACUCCCGACGUGUCGGGGACCGACGGUAUCGUAGGAAUAAGGAUCGGUUAACUCCGUGCCAGCAGCCGCGGUAA